UACGUGAGGGUCCGAGCGUUGUCCGGAAUCAUUGGGCGUAAAGCGCACGUAGGCGGCCCGAUAAGUCCGUUGUGAAAGUCAGAGGCUCAACCUCUGGAGGCCAAUGGAUACUGUCGGGCUAGAGUCCGGAAGAGGCGAGUGGAAUUCCUGGUGUAGCGGUGGAAUGCGCAGAUAUCAGGAGGAACACCAAUGGCGAAGGCAGCUCGCUGGGACGGUACUGACGCUGAGGUGCGAAAGCGUGGGGAGCGAACAGG
rnacentral:rRNA from 1 species